rnacentral:tRNA from 1 species
GCGCCAUUAGCUCAGUUGGUAGAGCAACUGACUCUUAAUCAGUGGGUCGUAGGUUCGAUCCCUACAUGGCGCA